GCUGAGUCAGCCUAACAUAGCAAAUUUAAGCUGAUCAGAGAGUCAAGACUUCUAAGUCAUCAUGUCUUUUUAAUUCCAACUUAAAAAUUUAAUGUCAGAUUUUCCUCAAAUGGAAGUGUCUCGACUCUGUUAUUGGUUGUGAGAUAAGCCAGCCUGGGAAUCAGAGCCAGCAAGGGCCUCUUGAUGGGAGAUGCAGAUGGGUCAAUUGUCAUCACCGAGGAAGUCAGGGACAGCCAGGCAGACAGGUGGCUUUCUUGGCAGGAAGAUCAAAGUGGUGUUUAGAGAAUGAUCAUGAAGUGAAUGCUGACUCCUUUCACGCCGUGACGAGUGUGAUGACUAAACAGGGGAGAAGACACUGAGUGCUGGGAGGUAAGAGAGAUGUGGAAAAGCACUGAACAACAGGAGUGAAAAAAGUACUUUUUAAAAGGUGCUAUACAGCAUCUUUUAGUCAUCUUUGUAUGUUUGAAAAGCUGUACUUCUGUGUGAUACUGAAAGAGGUAAUUGCGUAUUAGGGUAUUGAAUCAUGACACUACAGUUAAAAGCUGUUCACUUUUUAAGUAGCAAUCCUGACAGGGGCAAAAAUCACAUGAUAGGUGCACAGCAGUAGCUUUUAAUGCUGAGAAAAAUAACAACAAAAGGUGUCAAGAAGGAGUCAUCCAUUUGCCUUAGUGCCUCACCUCAGGGCUAACCCAUCUUUAUGAUAACAAGGCUAAUAAUUGAUCUGUCCCUUCAAAGAAAACUUAAAACUAUGCUUAAAUAAGCUGAAUUGAAUGAUGCAGACUUGGGAAUUCUAUGGCCAUUUUCAUAUUGGCUGCUUCUUGUGUUAGCUUUGGAAUUCACAAAUUACUAGCUUUAUCUCUACGAACUGCUUUUUCUGGCACUUAAAAUGUGCAUAAUGUGGGUGGUUGUGAACACUUUAUUUGCUUAACAGCUGGCCCCAGAAUUAAUUCGGGAGGACACUUUUUUUUUUAGAACAGUAGUAGCCCACUGGUUACCUGCAAACCUUAUGGAGCCUAUAGACAUAAUGACCUGAAUGAUAUGUAUUAAAAUAAGCCAAUAAUUUAAAUUUAGGAGAUUUUACAUAAACUUCAGACUCCUAUAUUCCUUGAAAGGCCAG
rnacentral:lncRNA from 1 species